AACGAACGCUGGCGGCAUGCCUAACACAUGCAAGUCGAACGAGACCUUCGGGUCUAGUGGCGCACGGGUGCGUAACGCGUGGGAACCUGCCCUUAGGUUCGGAAUAACUCCCCGAAAGGGGUGCUAAUACCGGAUAAUGUCUUCGGACCAAAGAUUUAUCGCCUUUGGAUGGGCCCGCGUUGGAUUAGCUAGUUGGUAGGGUAAAAGCCUACCAAGGCGACGAUCCAUAGCUGGUCUGAGAGGAUGAUCAGCCACACUGGGACUGAGACACGGCCCAGACUCCUACGGGAGGCAGCAGUGGGGAAUAUUGGACAAUGGGCGAAAGCCUGGUCCAGCAAUGCCGCGUGAAUGAUGAAGGCCUUAGGGUUGUAAAGCUCUUUUACCCGGGAUGAUAAUGACAGUACCGGGAGAAUAAGCUCCGGCUAACUCCGUG
rnacentral:rRNA from 1 species